CCUACGGGAGGCAGCAGUGAGGAAUAUUGGUCAAUGGGCGGGAGCCUGAACCAGCCAAGUCGCGUGAGGGAAGACGGUCCUAUGGAUUGUAAACCUCUUUAGGCGGGGAGCAAUGCCGGGCACGCGUGCCCGGAGGGAGAGUACCCGCAGAAUAAGCAUCGGCUAACUCCGUGCCAGCAGCCGCGGUAAUACGGAGGAUGCGAGCGUUAUCCGGAUUUAUUGGGUUUAAAGGGUGCGUAGGCGGAUUUUUAAGUCAGCGGGAAAAUGGCCGGGCUCAACCCGGGCCGGCCGUUGAAACUGGGGAUCUUGAGUGGGCGAGAAGUAUGCGGAAUGCGUGGUGUAGCGGUGAAAUGCAUAGAUCUCACGCAGAACUCCGAUUGCGAAGGCAGCAUACCGGCGCCCGACUGACGCUGAGGCACGAAAGCGUGGGGAUCGAACAGGAUUAGAUACCCCAGUAGUC
rnacentral:rRNA from 1 species